rnacentral:miRNA from 1 species
CGGCAUGAGGUGCCUGCUGAUGGGCGUCUUACCAGGCAAAGUUAGAUUGCGAUCACUCUGUCUAAUACUGUCUGGUAAUGCCGUCCAUCGCACUGGCCAGAUCGCCGU